rnacentral:rRNA from 1 species
CGUGAGUAACCUGCCUCUAAGAGGGGAAUAACAUUCUGAAAAGAAUGCUAAUACCGCAUAACAUAUACUUAUCGCAUGGUAGAUAUAUCAAAGAUUUAUCGCUUAGAGAUGGACUCGCGUCCGAUUAGUUAGUUGGUGAGGUAACGGCUCACCAAGACUGCGAUCGGUAGCCGGACUGAGAGGUUGAACGGCCACAUUGGGACUGAGACACGGCCCAG